UCACAGAGCUAGAAUGUGGCAUCCGGGUAGUGCCCACACCUGACUGCAGGUAAGAAAGUUGUCAGUCAGCUCUCCAGACUGCAGAACUCCCACCUGGUGCUAUGGAGCCCUCAAGACACAUGCUCAGUAACAGAGGAACCCCCACAAAGCCUCCAGUAUUUGGUACCUUGUCUUUCAGCCGUAAGGCAACCAAGCCCAAAAGCCACGGAAGUGUCCUGGAGGAAAGGGGCUGGGGGUAAGAAAUCUGGAAUUGGAAACAGCUGUGGAAAUCAAACAGCCAGAAAAAGCUUGCCAGCCCAUUGCUAGAUGCCGCUGGGUUUGCUGAGCACCACGCAGACCCCAGCUGACGGCUGACAUCGUCCCACACUUGUCUUUGUUGGACUCCUAGCCUCUGAAAGGUUGGGUCUACUCUCCGGUUGAUGCUUCGGUCAGGCAAAGGCCCCUGGGUAAAUAACUGCCGUGGGAGGGGUGGGAAAUGGUAGAAAGCACCCAUUCCUGCAUCUUUCGGAACUCUCUGGAUCUUUUCCAGGAGCCUCACCCUAGGUCCCUGGUCCCUGGCCUACAAAAGGUUCUUCUGUGUCAGCUCUGCAGGGGACCCCUCCCACCCAACUCCGCUACUCCCAAGCAAGCUGUGGAGCUGCUGAGUGCUCCAAGCAAGCGCCACAGCAUCAGCCCCGGAGUCCAUAGCUCAGCGCUUUGUGAUGCUGCCUCUGAGUAACAGAUGGCAGACAGUUACACAACACCAUCGCCAAGCUCUUGAGAUGGUGCAGCCGCACACUGCCUGCUGCCGAAGGGUUUCAUUCAGACUGGUCGGCAUACGGGGAAGCCAAGGCCCUGGGGUGAGACGACUCCUUAUGAAGGCCUGUGAUACGGGGGAGACUGGAGAUUUUCUUCUAACGCUCAUAAACCGUUAUUGUUUUGUCUUCCUCUCACAUGGGAAAGAGUCCCUGGGCCUUGGAAGAUUUCUAAAGAAUCCGGUUUUGCUAAGUGUCAUCACCUGACCCAACCAAAAGACACAGUGGUCUAGGUUGUCAGGCCAGUAAGGGCCAUUACAAUUGGUAUUAUAGAUCCUGUCAAAAUCGCAAGUCCUGGGUCUCCUACCAGGGCUUUUUCUGCAGUGAGCAGUGGAGUCGUCUGGGCUGAGUAAAGGAGAAGGAACUAUUAUCAACCCCAUGCGCACCCUUCCUGCCACAUGGGAUAACUGCAUUCCAGAAAGGUUAGCCUUCUCCUGUAUUAAGACAGAACUGCCUCUCAGAUCUGGGAUGCACUCAAAAGCGAUGAGUGACAAGCAUCUCUCUCCAUGUGCUGGACCACCAGCCUGGGGGAUUUUCAAGCAGUGCUGAUCAGAGGGCUAAAAUCCAUUACCCAGAGAGAUGGGAACGUUCCUCUCACUGAUUCCUUCCCCCUCUCUGCUUCCAGUCCUGAAUUCCAAAUUGAUUUCCUUAAUAACUAUUAAAGAUCUUUUUAAUUAAACCAGGCAUCCUCUUCCUUGGCAAACUUUUCUUGAUGACAUCUCUGGUUAAUUAAAGGUUUAAGCUGAA